rnacentral:rRNA from 1 species
AGGUUAAGCUAAUAAGAGCGCAGGGUGGAUGCCUUGGCACUAAGAGCCGAAGAAAGACGUGAUAAGCUGCGAUAAGCUACGGGGAGGAGCAAAUAUCCAUUGAGCCGUAGAUUUCUGAAUGGGGAAACCUAGCUGAGAAAACCUCAGUUACUGUAUACUGAAUCCAUAGGUAUACAGAGGGAACCCGGGGAACUGAAACAUCUAAGUACCCGGAGGAAGAGAAAGAAACAUCGAUUUCCUAAGUAGCGGCGAGCGAAAGGGAAAGAGCCUAAACCACGGUAGUAAUACCGUGGGGUAAUGGACCACAAUAACGUGAGUAAGGAACUAAAGUUCCGUAGAUGAUAGCAGAACGGUUUUGGGAAAGCCGGCCAGAGAGAGUGAAAGCCUCGUACGCGAAAUCAGAAGACAGCGAGUGGGAUCCGGAGUACCGCGAGACACGAGAAACCUUGCGGGAAGUCGGGGGGACCACCCCCCAAGGCUAAAUACUACUUAGUGACCGAUAGAGCAUAGUACUGUGAAGGAAAGGUGAAAAGAACCCCGGGAGGGGAGUGAAAGAGAACCUGAAACCCUGUGUUUACAAGCUGUGGAAGGUGUGUCUAUCUGCUUACCUAUCUAUAGGAACGCUUAUAUAUGUUAGAAUGUGAAUUGCUGCGUCAACUUACUCAGCGUAGGCUACUACGCUUGCGUGAGUUUCCUUGCAAUUCGCAUCCUACCACACAUAAUCGCUCCUGUGAAUAGGCAAGCAGAUAGCCAUCAACCGCGUACUUUUUGUAGAACGGUCCGGCGAGUUACUUUUGCAGGCAAGGUUAAGGACUGAAAGUCUGGAGCCGAAGGGAAACCAAGUGUUAAAAGCACGUCAAGUCUGUAAGAGUAGACCCGAAACCGGGUGAUCUAUCCAUGUCCAGGUUGAAGCCGCCGUAAAAGGUGGUGGAGGACCGAACACACAUCCGUUGAAAAGGGUGGUGAUGAGGUGUGGAUAGGGGAGAAAUUCCAAUCGAACCCGGAGAUAGCUGGUUCUCCUCGAAAUAGCUUUAGGGCUAGCCUCGAUUUAGUUUAACGGAGGUAGAGCACUGAAUUGCCUAGGGGGCGUCAAAGCUUACCGAAGCAUAUCAAACUCCGAAUGCCGUAUAAAUAAUGAUCGGGAGUCAGACUACACGAGAUAAGUUGGGUAGUCAAAAGGGAAAGAGCCCAGACCACCAGCUAAGGUCCCAAAGUGAGUGUUAAGUGGAAAAGGAUGUGGGAUUUCAGAGACAACUAGGAUGUUGGCUUAGAAGCAGCCAUACAUUCAAAGAGUGCGUAAUAGCUCACUAGUCGAGAGAUCCUGCGCCGAAAAUGUCCGGGGCUAAAACACGACACCGAAGCUGUGGAAUUGAGAAAUCAAUUGGUAGAGGAGCAUUCUUAAAACGACGAAGCUGUACCGGAAGGAGCAGUGGAGAUUUAAGAAGAGAGAAUGCCGGAAUGAGUAGCGAGAUAGAAGUGAGAAUCUUCUAGGCCGAAUAUCCAAGGUUUCCGGGGUAAAGCUGAUCUGCCCCGGGUAAGUCGGGACCUAAGGCGAGGCUGAGAAGCGUAGUCGAUGGACAACAGGUUGAAAUUCCUGUACCUUAUGCAGACAGAACUGUGGGGACACGGAAGGGUAGGAAGAGCCGGGAAAGGAAAAACCGGUUCAAGCACAAAGGCGAGUCAGGGAGGCAAAUCCCCCGGAUGAUGCUGAAGUGUGAUGAGGAGCGAACCAAAAGUAGCGAAGCUUCCGAACCCAAGCCGUCAAGAAAAUCCGCUAUUGUUCUGCAUAAGCCCGUACCGUAAACCGACACAGGUAGAUGAGGAGAGAAUCCUAAGGCCGACGGGAGAAGCAUUGUUAAGGAACUCGGCAAAAUGGCCCCGUAACUUCGGGAGAAGGGGCGCCUGCGAAAGCAGGCCGCAGAGAAAUGGCCCAAGCAACUGUUUAGCAAAAACACAGGUCUAUGCAAAACCGUAAGGUGAAGUAUAUGGGCUGACGCCUGCCCGGUGCUGGAAGGUUAAGGGGAGACGUUAGCAGGAACUUUAGUUCCUUGCGAAGCGUUGAACUUAAGCCCCAGUAAACGGCGGCCGUAACUAUAACGGUCCUAAGGUAGCGAAAUUCCUUGUCAGGUAAGUUCUGACCCGCACGAAAGGCGUAAUGAUUUGGGCACUGUCUCAACAAUGCACCCGGUGAAAUUGAAAUACCAGUGAAGAUGCUGGUUACCCGCGCCAGGACGGAAAGACCCCAUGGAGCUUUACUCUAGCUUGAUACUGGGACUCGGUAAUGCAUGCACAGGAUAGGUGGGAGGCUAAGAAUCUAUGACUCCGGUCGUAGAGGAGCCGCUGUUGGGAUACCACCCUUGUGUUACUGGGUUUCUAACAUGCAGCCGUGAACCGGCUGGUGGACAAUGUCAGGCGGGGAGUUUGACUGGGGCGGUCGCCUCCGAAAGGGUAUCGGAGGCGCUCAAAGGUUCCCUCAGAAUGGUUGGAAACCAUUCGAAGAGUGCAAAGGCAGAAGGGAGCUUGACUGUGACACCGACGGGUGGAGCAGGUACGAAAGUAGGACUUAGUGAUCCGGUGGUAUAAAGUGGGAUUGCCAUCGCUCAACGGAUAAAAGCUACCCUGGGGAUAACAGGCUUAUCACUCCCAAGAGUUCACAUCGACGGAGUGGUUUGGCACCUCGAUGUCGGCUCAUCGCAUCCUGGGGCUGUAGUAGGUCCCAAGGGUUGGGCUGUUCGCCCAUUAAAGCGGUACGCGAGCUGGGUUCAGAACGUCGUGAGACAGUUCGGUCCCUAUCCGGCGUGGGCGCAGGAUAUUUGAGAGGAGCUGACCUUAGUACGAGAGGACCGGGUUGGACGAACCACUGGUGCAUCGGUUGUCAUACCAAUGGCACGGCCGAGUAGCCAAGUUUGGAAGGGAUAAACGCUGAAGGCAUCUAAGCGUGAAGCCCCCCUCAAGAUAAGAUAUCCCAUAGCACAAGCUAGUAAGACCCCUUGAAGACGACAAGGUGGAUAGGACAAAGGUGGAAGUGCGGUAACGCAUGUAGCUGAUUGUUACUAAUAGGUCGAGGGCUUAACCUAA